CACCAUUCAGGUAGGAACCUUUGACACGGAAGCUUUUGUGUCAGGAUCGUUCUGACUGGGGGGGAACUUCCGGCCAAUCUGGACGAAAAGCUGACAUGCUGUAUCUUCAGGUGUCGCUUCACGUCCCACUUGCGUACUGCCGAUUAUCAAGUCCGUGAAAAAAAACACUCAACUCUCGAGUCAACAGGAAAAUCCCAUUGAGAUGAAGAAUCUCCUGUGACAAACAUUCAGUAUCUUGCCCAAGGACAAGGAUGGCAAAAGCUGGAUUGGUACCUGGAUCCCUCCAGUUCUGGGAACAUUUCGGAGGAACCUCCGAGCCAAGCUGGCCUAAUGGUACUUUCUCAACCCUGAAGGAAAUUCUAACAAACAAGCAUCAUUGUCAGGAUUUCAUUGCUAGUCGUGCUGCAUUUCCAGACUGCAGGCUGGGAGGAAAUAUUCCUCUCUGAGCUUUCGAGGUUUGACCUCAAAGCAAUCAAUUGGAAAGUCAACAAAAAAAGAAAAACAAGCUCUCGAUAAAUCUGUCGCCUCGCAUCAGAGGUGCAUUUAGGUCGAGAUGCUGAAAAGUAUGCAGACAACAAACUUAACUAUUUUUUCUGGCUUUUUGACUUUCUUCUACUUUUCAUACACAGUUACUUUUAGAGGUUACAAAGCUGGCCGCACAGUGGACUAGUGCACUGCUGUCAAACUCUAAGCCCGGGGGCCAGAUCUGGCCCGCCACGUCAUUUAGGUGGCCCACCAUGUCAUUCAAUGUGGUCUGCCACAUCAUUUAAGGUGGUCCGUCACCUCAUUAAUGUGGCCUGCCAUGUCAUUUGAGGUGGUCUGUCAUGUCAUUU